AUGUCGUCUGAGUACUAUAUAAUAGUUAAAACUUUCAACAACGGAUCUCUUGGUUCUGGCAUCGAUGAAGUACGCAGCGAAAUGCGAUAAGUAAUGUGAAUUGCAGAAUUCAGUGAAUCAUCGAAUCUUUGAACGCACAUUGCGCCCCUUGGUAUUCC
rnacentral:rRNA from 1 species